ACAGUGAACCCGAGCGAGAAGCCGCGCGGCUGCCUCCCCAAAUACCUUGCCUUUCUCUUCUCUCCCCCUCGCCUCUCUCUCUCUCUCCCUUUGGCCUCCUCUUCCAUCAUGGCUGUCUGCCACCACCACCACCACCUCCUCCCCCUCCACCACCGUUAUCGGAUCCGCUCCUCCUUCUGCCCCUCCCCUCUGCUUCCAUUCCGCAAGCCACUCUCCGCCACGUUCCCCCUCCCUAAGCCACGGCUCCGCCUUCCGCAGCUGGUCCCGCGCCCCCUCCGCCUCCAGCCAAGGGCCUCCGCGAAGGCGGCGGGGGAGGCUGAAACCUCAGAGCGGCAGCGGCCGGUGGGAGGUAAGCGGACUGACAUCAAGAAGAUCAUGAUUCUGGGGGCGGGGCCCAUCGUGAUCGGGCAGGCGUGCGAGUUCGACUACUCCGGCACGCAAGCGUGCAAGGCUCUGGUGGACGAGGGAUAUGAGGUGGUGCUCGUCAACUCCAAUCCGGCCACUAUCAUGACCGACCCCGACCUCGCCCACCGCACCUACGUGGGCCCCAUGACCCCGGAGCUCGUCGAGCAGAUCAUCGACGCCGAGCGCCCCGACGCCCUUCUCCCCACCAUGGGCGGCCAGACCGCCCUUAACCUCGCAGUCGCCCUCGCGGAUUCAGGCGCCCUUGCCCGCCAUGGCAUCGAGCUCAUCGGCGCGAAGCUUAAAGCUAUCAAAACCGCGGAGGACCGCGACCUCUUCAAGCGUGCCAUGGAUCGCAUCGGCCUCCGCACUCCACCCUCCGGCAUCGGCAACACCUUGGAAGAGUGCCUUGCUGUUGCCGAUGACAUCGGUGGAUUCCCCCUCAUCAUUCGCCCCGCCUUCACCCUUGGUGGCACAGGCGGUGGCAUCGCCUACAACCGCGAUGAGUUUGAGGCUAUCUGCCGCGCCGGGCUCGCUGCCAGUCUUACGACCCAGGUCCUCGUGGAAAAAUCACUCCUUGGGUGGAAGGAGUACGAGCUGGAGGUAAUGCGUGACCUGGCCGACAAUGUGGUGAUCAUCUGCUCGAUUGAGAACAUCGAUCCCAUGGGUGUUCACACGGGGGAUUCAAUCACUGUGGCGCCAGCGCAAACGCUCACGGACAAGGAGUACCAGAGACUCAGGGACUACUCUGUGGCCAUCAUCAGGGAAAUUGGGGUGGAGUGUGGGGGAUCCAACGUGCAAUUUGCAGUAAAUCCGGUGGACGGAGAGGUGAUGAUUAUUGAGAUGAAUCCAAGGGUGUCACGGUCAUCUGCCCUUGCUUCAAAGGCGACGGGCUUUCCCAUUGCCAAGAUGGCUGCUAAGCUGUCUGUAGGUUACACGCUUGAUCAGAUUCCAAAUGAUAUUACAAAGAAGACACCGGCUAGUUUCGAGCCCUCCAUCGAUUAUGUGGUAACAAAGAUUCCACGUUUUGCUUUUGAGAAAUUCCCUGGUUCAGAACCAAUCUUAACAACCCAGAUGAAAUCUGUUGGUGAGGCAAUGGCACUUGGGAGGACUUUCCAAGAAUCCUUCCAGAAGGCAGUUCGAUCAUUGGAGUCUGGGUACUCUGGCUGGGGUUGUGCACCCAUUAAGGAACUCAACUGGGACUGGGAUCAGUUAAAGUACAGCAUGCGAGUUCCAAAUCCAGAUCGUAUGCAUGCCAUAUAUGCAGCAAUUAAGAAAGGAAUGAAGGUAGAGGAAAUUCAUGAGCUGAGCUUCAUUGACAAGUGGUUCCUUACUCAACUCAAGGAGCUAGUGGAUGUGGAACAGUUCCUCCUGUCACAGACACUGGACCAGCUGACAAAGCAUGACUUCUAUGAAGUUAAAAGGAGGGGCUUUAGUGAUAGGCAGAUUGCUUAUGCAACUUCUUCCUCGGAGAGUGACGUCCGAUCAAGGCGCUUGUCACUAGGUGUGACCCCAGCAUAUAAAAGGGUUGACACCUGUGCUGCAGAGUUCGAGGCAAACACUCCCUACAUGUACUCCUCUUAUGAUUUUGAAUGUGAAUCAGCUCCCACUCCAAAGAAAAAGGUGUUGAUAUUGGGGGGUGGACCUAACCGUAUUGGCCAGGGUAUUGAGUUUGAUUACUGCUGCUGUCAUGCUUCUUUUGCCCUUAAAGAGAAUGGAUAUGAGACAAUCAUGAUGAACUCAAAUCCAGAGACUGUAUCCACUGAUUACGAUACCAGCGAUCGACUAUACUUUGAACCUUUGACCGUUGAGGAUGUUCUGAAUGUGAUUGACUUAGAGCGGCCAAAUGGUAUUAUUGUACAGUUUGGUGGGCAAACUCCUUUAAAGCUUGCUCUCCCCAUACAGCAGUAUCUUGAAGAACAAAAGUUGGUAGCUUCCACUGGGACAGGGCAUGUGCAAAUUUGGGGAACAUCACCUGAUUCCAUUGAUGCUGCAGAAGAUAGAGAACGAUUUAAUGCAAUUCUCGAUAAUCUCAAGAUUGAGCAACCUAAAGGGGGCAUAGCAAAGAGUGAAUCAGAUGCCAUAUCGAUUGCGAGUAAAAUUGGUUACCCUGUUGUAGUCAGACCUUCUUAUGUCUUGGGUGGACGUGCGAUGGAAAUUGUUUACAGUGAUGAUAAACUUAGCAAAUACCUUGAGAAUGCAGUAGAAGUUGAUCCUGAGCGCCCUGUGUUGAUAGAUAAAUAUCUCACAGAUGCCAUCGAAAUUGAUGUGGAUGCAUUGGCUGACUCAAAUGGGAACGUGGUAAUUGGUGGUAUCAUGGAGCACAUUGAGCAGGCAGGUGUUCAUUCGGGUGACUCAGCCUGUUUGCUUCCUACAAAAACUGUGUCAAAUAAGUGCCUGGAUACAAUUCGCCAGUGGACAAUCAAGCUGGCCAAAAAACUUGAUGUAUGCGGGCUUAUGAAUUGCCAAUAUGCAAUUACUGCUUCUGGUGAUGUAUACCUUCUUGAAGCCAAUCCACGUGCUUCUCGCACUGUCCCUUUUGUUUCUAAAGCUAUUGGACACCCCUUGGCAAAAUAUGCAUCUCUUGUCAUGUCUGGGAAAAACUUACAUGAACUUGGAUUUACAAAAGAGGUGGUGCCUAGGCAUGUGUCAGUCAAGGAGGCCGUACUUCCAUUCGAGAAAUUCCAAGGAUGUGAUGUUCUUCUUGGCCCAGAGAUGCGUAGCACUGGAGAAGUUAUGGGAAUUGACUUUGACUUCCAUGUGGCUUUUGCCAAGGCACAGAUUGCUGCCGGACAGCAGCUUCCAGCUAGUGGUACAGUCUUUCUCAGCCUAAAUGACUUGACAAAGCCACACCUUGCUUCAAUCGCUCGUGGAUUCCUAGAACUUGGUUUCAAAAUUGUUGCAACUUCUGGGACGGCUCGUGUGCUUGAAUUGGAGGGUAUACCGGUGGAGGUUGUUCUUAAGAUGCAUGAGGGGAGACCUCAUGCAGGGGAUAUGCUAGCAAAUCGUGAAAUACAAGCUAUGGUGAUAACAAGUUCUGGUGAUGCUCUAGAUUCAAUUGAUGGAAGGCAGCUGAGGAGGAUGGCGCUGGCGUACAAGAUCCCAAUUAUAACAACAGUUGCCGGGGCAUUAGCUACUGUGGAAGCUAUUAAGAGCUUGAAACAUAGCUCUAUCAAGAUGCUAGCGUUGCAGGACUACUUUACUGUUUCAGAUGAGCAUCCGAAGUUGCAGGCGGCAUCAUCUGCCAUUUAGCCGUGUUUUUCUUUUAUAUAGAGGGUUGCAGCUGCAUUGAAUCAACAUACUAGAUGUGAUGUUGGCAGUCUUGUUAGACUGAACUGCCAUCACUAGUGCUGAAAGAAAUGUGCUGGCUGGAUUUGUGUAUACAACUCAUCAAGCUUUUUGUGAGAUCUACAUGAAGUUGCAAACCCAAAAGCCAAAUGUAGGGCGCUUUUGCACCGAGGGGUUUCAGUCUAACAUGAUAAAAAAUGGAAAUGAAAAGAUUAUGUAAACAGAACGGGCAAUGUUGGUACAAAAUCUCCUACAUGAUCAGCCCCAGUUACUGUUACAUUUGAUGGCAGAUUCAGUUGCAUGACAUGGCAGUAGAGUGUAGAACCAACAGGUAGGUUUCUUCCCCUGCAUGCAAUCCCAGAGUUCUUAUUCCGUGGAGAUCUAGUGUUAGCUUCGAGGCGUGCCACCAAUCAAGCAAUCACCUCUUGAAUUUGGGAAGGGUAAGACAGACUGUGGGGGUCGGAAUGCC